CCCUUAGAUGUCCUGGGCCGCACGCGCGCUACACUGAACGGAUCAGCGCGUUUUCCCUUCCCGAGAGGGACGGGUAACCUGCUGAACCCCGUUCGUGGUAGGGAUCGGGGCUUGCAAUUAUUCCCCGUGAACCAGGAAUGCCCAGUAAGUGCAAGUCAUAAGCUUGCGUUGAUUACGUCCCUGCCCUUUGUACACACCGCCCGUCGCACCUACCGAUUGAAUGGUCCGGUGAAAUCUUCGGAUCUGAGAGAUGUUGGAUUAAUUUCUGACGCCUUUUGGAAAAGUCGCUUAAACCUUAUCAUUUAGAGGAAGGUGAAGUCGUAACA
rnacentral:rRNA from 1 species